GAGUUUGAUCAUGGCUCAGGACGAACGCUGGCGGCGUGCCUAAUACAUGCAAGUAGAACGCUGAAGAGAGGAGCUUGCUCUUCUUGGAUGAGUUGCGAACGGGUGAGUAACGCGUAGGUAACCUGCCUUGUAGCGGGGGAUAACUAUUGGAAACGAUAGCUAAUACCGCAUAACAAUAGGUGACACAUGUCAUUUAUUUGAAAGGGGCAAUUGCUCCACUACAAGAUGGACCUGCGUUGUAUUAGCUAGUAGGUGAGGUAACGGCUCACCUAGGCGACGAUACAUAGCCGACCUGAGAGGGUGAUCGGCCACACUGGGACUGAGACACGGCCCAGACUCCUACGGGAGGCAGCAGUAGGGAAUCUUCGGCAAUGGGGGCAACCCUGACCGAGCAACGCCGCGUGAGUGAAGAAGGUUUUCGGAUCGUAAAGCUCUGUUGUAAGUCAAGAACGAGUGUGAGAGUGGAAAGUUCACACUGUGACGGUAGCUUACCAGAAAGGGACGGCUAACUACGUGCCAGCAGCCGCGGUAAUACGUAGGUCCCGAGCGUUGUCCGGAUUUAUUGGGCGUAAAGCGAGCGCAGGCGGUUUGAUAAGUCUGAAGUUAAAGGCUGUGGCUCAACCAUAGUUCGCUUUGGAAACUGUCAAACUUGAGUGCAGAAGGGGAGAGUGGAAUUCCAUGUGUAGCGGUGAAAUGCGUAGAUAUAUGGAGGAACACCGGUGGCGAAAGCGGCUCUCUGGUCUGUAACUGACGCUGAGGCUCGAAAGCGUGGGGAGCGAACAGGAUUAGAUACCCUGGUAGUCCACGCCGUAAACGAUGAGUGCUAGGUGUUGGAUCCUUUCCGGGAUUCAGUGCCGCAGCUAACGCAUUAAGCACUCCGCCUGGGGAGUACGACCGCAAGGUUGAAACUCAAAGGAAUUGACGGGGGCCCGCACAAGCGGUGGAGCAUGUGGUUUAAUUCGAAGCAACGCGAAGAACCUUACCAGGUCUUGACAUCCCGAUGCUAUUUCUAGAGAUAGAAAGUUACUUCGGUACAUCGGUGACAGGUGGUGCAUGGUUGUCGUCAGCUCGUGUCGUGAGAUGUUGGGUUAAGUCCCGCAACGAGCGCAACCCCUAUUGUUAGUUGCCAUCAUUCAGUUGGGCACUCUAGCGAGACUGCCGGUAAUAAACCGGAGGAAGGUGGGGAUGACGUCAAAUCAUCAUGCCCCUUAUGACCUGGGCUACACACGUGCUACAAUGGUUGGUACAACGAGUUGCGAGUCGGUGACGGCAAGCUAAUCUCUUAAAGCCAAUCUCAGUUCGGAUUGUAGGCUGCAACUCGCCUACAAUGAAAGUCGGAAAUCGCUAGUAAUCGCGGAUCAGCACGCCGCGGUGAAAUACGUUCCCGGG
rnacentral:rRNA from 1 species